rnacentral:rRNA from 1 species
UACGUAGGGUGCAAGCGUUAAUCGGAAUUACUGGGCGUAAAGCGUGCGCAGGCGGUUUUGUAAGUCUGUCGUGAAAUCCCCGGGCUCAACCUGGGAAUGGCGAUGGAGACUGCAAGGCUAGAGUUUGGCAGAGGGGGGUAGAAUUCCACGUGUAGCAGUGAAAUGCGUAGAUAUGUGGAGGAACACCGAUGGGCGAAGGCAGCCCCCUGGGUCAAAACUGACGCUCAUGCACGAAAGCGUGGGGAGCAAACAGG